UGGUAUAGUCCAGGAGACUCACUGGUGGCCUAGAAAGGAAUAGUUACGUGUUGGUAUAGUCCAGGAGACUCACGGGUGGCCUAGAAAGGAAUAGAUACAUGUUGGUAUAGUCCAGGAGACUCACUGGCGGCCUAGAAAGGAAUAGUUAUGUGUUGGUAUAGUACAGGAGACUCACUGGCGGCCUAGAAAGGAAUAGAUACAUGUUGGUAUAGUCCAGGAGACUCAUGUUGGUAUAGUCCAGGAGACUCACUGGUGGCCUGGACAGG